UCCGAGUUGUAAUUUGCAGAGGGUGCUUUGGCAUAGGCGGCGGUCUAAGUUCCUUGGAACAGGACAUCGCAGAGGGUGAGAAUCCCGUAUGUGGGCGCCUGCCUUUGCCGUGUAAAGCCCCUUCGACGAGUCGAGUUGUUUGGGAAUGCAGCUCUAAAUGGGAGGUAAAUUUCUUCUAAAGCUAAAUACUGGCCAGAGACCGAUAGCGCACAAGUAGAGUGAUCGAAAGAUGAAAAGUACUUUGGAAAGAGAGUCAAAAAGCACGUGAAAUUGUUGAAAGGGAAGCGCUUGCAGCCAGACUUGCCCGUAGUUGCUCACCCAGGCUUUUGCCCGGGGCACUCUUCUGCGGGCAGGCCAGCAUCAGUUUGGGCGGUUGGAUAAAGGCCUCUGUCACGUAUCUCUCUUCGGGGAGACCUUAUAGGGGAGGCGUAAUGCGACCAGCCCGGACUGAGGUCCGCGCAUCUGCUAGGAUGCUGGCGUAAUGGCUGUAAGCGGCCCGUCUUGAAACACGGACCAAGGAGUCUAACAUCUAUGCGAGUGUUUGGGUGUCAAGCCCGGGCGCGCAAUGAAAGUGAACGGAGGUGGGAACCCCUCGGGGUGCACCAUCGACCGAUCCUGAAGUCUUCGGAUGGAUUUGAGUAAGAGCAUAGCUGUUGGGACCCGAAAGAUGGUGAACUAUGCUUGAAUAGGGUGAAGCCAGAGGAAACUCUGGUGGAGGCUCGCAGCGGUUCUGACGUGCAAAUCGAUCGUCAAAU
rnacentral:rRNA from 1 species